UUGCCCUGACCUGCUCAGUUUAAGGGCCCAAUCCAGUCUGAAGUUCAAAGAGAUUUUGGUUGGACUUGACUGACCAUUAUAGAUGCAAAGUUCUUUGGACCCACUGGCUGUAGUAUUUCUGCCUUGAACAGAAUUUUUUAAAGGUUGAAGAUAAGGCUGAAAGCUCCACUUAUAGGAAGACUUCAAGGAUUUUUCUCUUCCUCCCUUCUCCCCCACCCCAACUGUGAAAGAGAAAAACUUUUCUGCCCAACUUGAAGGUGGUUCUUUUAAAAUCAGAUACAGACUUAUCCUCAGGCUACUGAGACUGGGAGUUCUGGGCCUGUUCCAAUAUUUCAUGAAGACAAACUGGUCGAUACAACAUUGAAACUACCUUGGGUUUGGAGGCAUCAGGGUACUUGGUUGGUGACAGUGGGGACUCACAGGUCAGGGAAGGGACAAAUGAGUUUGUGUGCAGGAGAUAUAUUUUUCUAUCCCACAACCACUUUGUGGAGACUCAGUCCCACCUAAUGAGACCUUGGUCUCCUCCCUGUGCCACCUCUUGUCUGAGAUGAGGUGUUUUCCCACAUGGAGAAAGAAGCUGAAAAAUCACUGGUCAAUCCAUUCUUCUUCAUGCCUUGUUUAUCCUUGCCUUUCAGAGAUCCUCUGAGAUCCUGUACGUGCUUGUGACCAUUCCUGAGCCCCGAGCUGGAAUUUUUAGAGCACUACCAGCAGAAAAACCAAGCAAAAUAAUGGAUGACUGAGAUCAGAGGGAAGCACCAUGUGCUCACAACGUGAAGAACUGCACG